CUCAACCUCUCUCCCAUUUCCUCCGCACAAACACACGAUACAUACCCAUAUAUAUAUAUAUAUACGUACACGAUAUCAAACAAAAAAAGGAGGCAGAGAAAAAUACAGAGUAAAAAAAGAGAUCAAGAAGAGGGAGUAAAACAAAGAAAGAAAGUUUGAAGUUUUAAAAUUUUCGUUCGAGAUUUUCGGAUUUGAAAUACAGGAUAAAACAAGUCUCGGCGCAUUCAUUGCAUUUCGACAAUUCAUGCAAUCGUGAUUUUAGAGAAGAUAUCAAAAACUAUUUGGCGAAGAUGUAUAAAAUUUAUUCCGGCAAUCAAUUUUUGGAAAGUUUCUCGACAUGCCUAAUUGCAAUUUUCCGGGACAAAUUUUAAAAUAUUUGCUCAUGCUUAAGAUAGAGCGAGAUAACCCCAAUGAAAUACAUGUUUAUGUGAAGGGGACUAUUCUCAAAUUUUUUAUUUUUGAGUUUGCUCUCAUAACCGGUCUUAAAUGUAUUAGUAAUAUAGAGGAUUAAAUGUAUUCUGAAUCAUCCAAGUCCGUUUCGGUUGAUAAGUAGUUUUCAAAUGCGAAGAAUUCGGUAAAAAAUAAAUGUUUGUCCAGCACUUUAAGAUGAAAAACUUUGAUAACAUUACA